GGGGCAUGAUGAGAUUUU
rnacentral:miRNA from 1 species